rnacentral:rRNA from 1 species
UACGUAGGGUGCAAGCGUUAAUCGGAAUUACUGGGCGUAAAGCGUGCGCAGGCGGUUUUGUAAGUCUGUCGUGAAAGCCCCGGGCUUAACCUGGGAAUUGCGAUGGAGACUGCAAGGCUAGAAUCUGGCAGAGGGGGGUAGAAUUCCACGUGUAGCAGUGAAAUGCGUAGAGAUGUGGAGGAACACCGAUGGCGAAGGCAGCCCCCUGGGUCAAGACUGACGCUCAUGCACGAAAGCGUGGGGAGCAAACAGG